rnacentral:rRNA from 1 species
AUGACGCCGCUCCACGCCGCCCCGCCGCCGCUCUCCGCGUCGGCCGCGGUCUCCUCAUCCGCGCCACCUCCCCUCCUCGCCAAAGCUUACCAUCCCAAGGCCGCGGCCCUUUGCUCACUCACCGUGACCGCCGCCACCCCAUCAAGAAAAGCUUUUCUCGCAUGCCCGGAUCACGGCCCGGCGGGCGGGCGGUCGCUGACGCCGGCGCGCGGCGCUCCCGCCUCGUCCCCGGCGCUCAUCUCGGCCGUCAAGGACCUGUACGAGUUCAUCUGCAGCGGGCCGCUGGUGGACAGGAUCGGCUACACCCGGGAGAAGAUCGCCGAGUCCAUCGACCGGUGGCUGUGGUGCGGCUCGCAGGUGAGCCGGUUGUUCCGCAUCGACGAGCUCCGGCUGACGGACGCCGAGAAGUCGCGGAUAUACCACUUCUACAUACCCGUCUUUCUCUGGUGCGAGGACCAGGUCGCCGACCACAGGUCCAAGUACAACGACGGCGACGAGAUCCCGCCAUUAGUGAUUGGAGUCAGCGCUCCCCAAGGCAGCGGGAAGACAACUCUUGUUUUCGCUCUUGAUUAUCUUUUUCGGGUUUCUGGUAGGAAUUCUGCCACAUUGUCUAUCGAUGACUUCUAUUUGACUGCAGCAGAACAGGGUAAACUGAGGGAAACACAUGCUGGAAAUGCUCUUUUAGAGUUUCGUGGAAAUGCCGGAAGCCACGAUCUCCAAUUCUCAAUUGACACACUUGAGUCACUGAUCAAACUGACAAAGGAAGGUACGAAGAUGAAGCUUCCACGGUAUGACAAGUCCGCUUUUGGUGGAAGAGGUGACCGGGCUGACCCUUCGACAUGGCCAGAGGUUGAAGGGCCCACAGAGGUUGUUCUCUUUGAAGGAUGGAUGCUUGGGUUUAAACCUCUUCCAAAUGAAGUUGUAACAGCAGUGGAUCCUCAGCUUGAGGUGGUUAAUAAGAACUUAGAAGCAUACUAUGACGCGUGGGACAGAUUCAUUGAGUCAUGGAUUGUCAUAAAAAUUAAGGAGCCUAACUGUGUGUUUCAGUGGAGACUACAGGCAGAGGUAGCUAUGAGAGCUGAUGGUAAAGCAGGAAUGUCUGACGAGGAGGUUAUGGAUUUUGUAUCGCGCUACCUACCAGCAUACCAUGCGUAUUUGCCCACGCUAUAUAAAGAAGGACCAAAUGGCGCGAAGAAAGACCAUCUGCUGGUCAUUGACAUAGACGAAGAGAGGACUCCUAUCUCUGGUAGUUGA